rnacentral:rRNA from 1 species
CCUACGGGAGGCAGCAGUGAGGAAUAUUGGUCAAUGGACGCAACUCUGAACCAGCCAUGCCGCGUGCAGGAAGACGGCUCUAUGAGUUGUAAACUGCUUUUGUACGAGGGUAAACGGAGAUGCGCGUAUCUGUCUGAGCGUCUCGUACGAAUAAGGCUCGGCUAACUCCGUGCCAGCAGCCGCGGUAAUACGGAGGAUUCAAGCGUUAUCCGGAUUUAUUGGGUUUAAAGGGUGCGUAGGCGGGCGAAUAAGUUAGAGGUGAAAUCCCGAGGCUCAACGUCGGAAUUGCUUCUGAUACUGUUCGGCUAGAGAGUAGGUGCGGUAGGCGGAAUGUAGGGUGUAGCGGUGAAAUGCUUAGAGAUCAUACAGAACACCGAUUGCGAAGGCAGCUUACCAAGCUACGUCUGACGUUGAGGCACGAAAGCGUGGGGAGCAAACAGGAUUAGAUACCCUGGUAGUC